UACGUAGGGUGCGAGCGUUAAUCGGAAUUACUGGGCGUAAAGCGAGCGCAGGCGGUUUUGUAAGCCAGAUGUGAAAUCCCCGGGCUUAACCUGGGAAUGGCAUUUGGGACUGCAAGGCUUGAGUGCGGCAGAGGAGACUGGAAUUCCUGGUGUAGCAGUGAAAUGCGUAGAUAUCAGGAGGAAUACCGAUGGCGAAGGCAGGUCUCUGGGCUGACACUGACGCUCAUGCACGAAAGCGUGGGGAGCAAACAGG
rnacentral:rRNA from 1 species